UACAGAGGUCUCAAGCGUUGUUCGGAUUCAUUGGGCGUAAAGGGCGCGUAGGCGGCGGGGUAAGUCUGGUGUGAAAUCUCGGAGCUCAACUCCGAAAUUGCACUGGAUACUGCUCUGCUAGAGGGCUGGAGAGGAGAUCGGAAUUCACGGUGUAGCAGUGAAAUGCGUAGAUAUCGUGAGGAAGACCAGUGGCGAAGGCGGAUCUCUGGACAGCUCCUGACGCUGAGGCGCGAAGGCUAGGGGAGCGAACGGG
rnacentral:rRNA from 1 species